AGCGUAUCCUUUCGAGGGAACCCUACAUCCUGAAUGAGAAGGAUUGGGUGCACAGGACUGCUCUACAUUUGGCCUCUGCCAAGGGCCAUGCAGAAGUGGUGAGACUCCUGGUGAAUAGAAAGUGCCAACUUAACAGGCAUGACAACAAAAGGAGGACAGCUCUGAUAAAGGCCGUCCAAUGCCAGGAGGAGGAAUGUGUGACCGUUCUGCUGAGAGGUGGUGCCGAUCCAAACUUUCAAGAUGUGUAUGGCAACGCUGCUCUUCACUAUGCUGCCUAUCACCAGAACGUACCAAUAGCAGAAAAACUGCUUUCAGGCGGUGCAUAUAUUGACCCAAAAAACAAGGAUCAUCCAUCCAUUCCUCCACUGGGAGAUAAGAGGGGAAACUUGGGAAUUCCACAGGUCCAUCUGCAGCUUCCUCGAGGAUGUGCUGGCUUAGCAGAAACAAAUGUGUGUGUCAUUCCCAGCCAAGA